AGACAAUCUCACUCUGUUGCCCAGACACAAGAUAGUGUAGUGGAGGUUGCAGUGAGCCAAGCGCCACUCCAGCCUCGGCAAAAGAGCGAGACUCCAUCUUAAAAACAACAACAAAGAAAAAAACCCCAAAAAACUUGAUUUUGCCCUCUUGCCUUUCUGGACCUUUCAUGAGGGGCUGCGGGUGCUCGUUAGAACACCUCAGGUUAUCUGUACGUGAGGUGUAUCUGGCCUUGCCUCCAACAUUAUUAUCUUUUUUUUUUUUUGGAGACAGAGUAGCUGGGAUUAUAGGCAUGUGCCACGACGCCUGGCUAAUUUUUUUGUAUUUUUAGUAGAGACAGGGUUUCCCCAUGUUGGCCAGGCCAGUCUCAAACUCUUGAUCUCAAAUGAUCUGGCC
rnacentral:lncRNA from 1 species